rnacentral:misc_RNA from 1 species
GUGAAUCAUCAAAUCUUUGAACGCAAAUUGCGCCUUUUUCGGAAGGCAUGUCUGUUUGAGGGCACCAUUUAACAAAUAAUGUGCAUUUUGUGUUCACACGUGGAUGAGCUUUCCAAAAUUAUGUAUUAUCUUUGAUGGUUCAUAAUAUACAGCGCGAUGCUUUUUUUCAGUUUUAGUGUAGUAAAAUUUUUUCUUGUUUUGGUUGUGUAAAGCGUGAUAGCGCAAUGUUAGUGGCAAUUUUAUC